GGGCCCGCACAAGCGGUGGAGCAUGUGGUUUAAUUCGAUGAUACGCGAGGAACCUUACCAGGGCUUAAAUGUAAGUUGCAUAGAUCAGAGAUGGUCUUUUCUUCGGACUACUUACAAGGUGCUGCAUGGUUGUCGUCAGCUCGUGCCGUGAGGUGUCAGGUUAAGUCCUAUAACGAGCGCAACCCCUGUCGUUAGUUACCAGCAAGUAAUGUUGGGUACUCUAGCGAGACUGCCGGUGCAAACCGUGAGGAAGGUGGGGAUGACGUCAAAUCAUCACGGCCCUUACGUCCUGGGCUACACACGUGCUACAAUGGCCGGUACAGAGAGCAGCCACUACGCGAGUAGGAGCGAAUCUUCAAAGCCGGUCUCAGUUCGGAUCGUAGGCUGCAACUCGCCUACGUGAAGGCGGAAUCGCUAGUAAUCG
rnacentral:rRNA from 1 species